rnacentral:rRNA from 1 species
UACGGGGGGUGCAAGCGUUGUCCGGAUUUACUGGGCGUAAAGGGCGCGUAGGCGGUUGUAUCAGUCGGGCUUAUAAGUGCGGGGCUCAACCCCGUGAUGGGUUCGGGACGGUAUGACUGGGGCGCGGUCGAGGGAGACGGAAUGCCGGGUGUAGUGGUGAAAUGCGUAGAGAUCCGGCGGAACACCGGUGGUGAAGGCGGUUUCCUAGGCCGAGGGCCGACGCUGAGGCGCGAGAGCGUGGGGAGCGAACCGG